rnacentral:lncRNA from 1 species
GAUUCUAAAAUCGGCUAUGAUUUUUUAGACAUAACUUGACCGAUUCCUCCUUUUCCAUUGUACUGGCUAUUCAGUCCGUUUUAACAAGGUUGCUAGUUACAUUCUUUGGUAACCUCUGAAUUCAAAAAUUGCACUAUUAGUCCCCAAACUAUUGCUCAACCUUUUCUGGACUUCCAAAGACUCGUUAUAGGUUUAACGCCAGUCCCCAUCAACGAUUUUUUGUGAUAUACCCGCCUAAACCCCAAACCAAAACCCAAAACUGAUGAAUGGGAAGGGCAUGUUCAAAACCUUUGUAUGCCCUUUCCCUCCACCCUCAAGCCACCCAUUCCUUCUCCACAACCGCCAUCUCCGCCGCCUCACAAGAUUUCAUAUCCCUAUGCUCCAAAGGCCAUCUCAAACAAGCCUUCACCAUCUAUUUCUCCCACAUUUGGUCGGACCCACCUCUCUUCUCCCACCUCCUCAAGGAAUGCAUCGAACGCCACUCUUUCCCGCUUGCACAACAGCUCCAUUCCCUCAUAAUAACUGCCGGGUGUUCCCGGGACCGCUUCGUUUCCAACCAUUUAAUGAGCGCUUAUUCAAAAUUGGGCCAUUUGAAAGGAUCUGUAAAAGUGUUUGAUAAAAUGCCUAACAGAAAUGUUAUGUCCUUUAACAUUUUGAUUGGUGGGUAUAUACAGAGUGGGGAGUUGGAUUGUGCGAUUGAGCUUUUUGAACAAAUGAUUGAGCGAAAUUUGGCCACUUGGAAUGCGAUUAUUACGGGGAUGGUUCAGUUUGAGUUUAAUGAGGAGGCGCUGAAUAUGUUCUCGAGAAUGCACUCUCUUGGGUUUUUGCCUGAUUACUAUGCUCUAGGGAGUGCGUUGAGAGGCUGUGCUGGAUUGAAAGAUUUGAGUAGGGGGAAUCAGAUUCAUGGGUAUUCAGUGAGAUCGGGGUUGGAGUUUGAUUUGGUUGUUGGAAGUUCGUUGGCUCAUAUGUAUAUGAAGUGUGGUAGCUUGAGAGAAGGUGAGAGAGUGAUUCAGUCUAUGCCAGUUCAUAACAUUGUUGCUUGUAAUACACUUAUUGCUGGCAAAUCUCAGAAUGGGUGUUCCGAGGGUGCUUUGAAUCAGUACAAGAUAAUGAGAAUGGCUGGCUUUAGGCCGAAUAAAAUCACUUUGGUGAGCAUUAUCAGUUCAUGUUCUGAGCUAACAACACUUGGACAAAGCCUGCAGGUUCAUGCUGAGGUGAUAAAAGCUGGGGCCACGUUGGAUGUUUCAGUUGUUAGUUCAUUAGUUAGCAUGUAUUCACGGUGUGGGUGUUUAGAUGAUGCUGUGAAAGUUUUUGACCAGAGGGAGGGAGCUGAAAAUGAUCUGGUUUUGUGGAGUUCAAUGAUUUCUGCUUAUGGGUUUCAUGGGAAAGGAAAGGAGGCUGUUGAAGUGUUUAAAAGGAUGGAGCAUGUAGGAUUGAAACCAAAUGAAGUCACUUUCUUGAGUUUGCUAUAUGCUUGUAGUCAUUGCGGAUUGAAAGAUGAAGGGCUUCAAUAUUUCGACUUGAUGGUAAAGAAGUAUGGACUGGAGCCUCGGUUAGAACAUUAUACCUGUGUGGUUGAUCUCCUUGGUAGAGCAGGCUGUUUGGCAGAGGCAGAAAGCCUGAUCAGAUCCAUGCCUGUAAAGCCUGAUACUGUUACAUGGAAAACUUUACUAUCAGCUUGUAAAAUCCAUAAGAAUGCUGACCUGUCUAGAAGAAUUGCUGAGGAAAUUGUUAAAAUGGAUCCUCAAGAUUCAGCUUCUUAUGUGCUGCUUUCAAAUAUCCAAGCUUCUGCUAAAAGAUGGCAUGAUGUUUCAGAGGUGAGGAAAGCAAUGAGGGAAAGAAUGGUCAAGAAAGAGCCGGGGAUAAGCUGGUUUGAGCUGAAGAAUGAAAUUCACCAUUUUGUUAUGGGCGAUAAAUCUCAUCCUCAGUCUAAAAAGAUCGACUUGUAUUUGACAGAACUGAUGGCCGAACUGAAGUUGCAUGGUUAUGUGCCCGAUUUAGGUGCUGUUUUGCAUGACAUGGAUGUGGAGGAAAAGGAGUAUAACUUAGGACAUCACAGUGAAAAACUGGCUAUUGCUUUUGCUCUGAUGAAUAUGCCGCUGGGUGUUCCAAUAAGGAUAAUGAAGAAUUUGCGGGUCUGCGGUGAUUGCCAUGUUGUUAUGAAGUACAUAUCCAAGGUUAAAAACAGAGAAAUUACUGUACGGGAUGCCAGUAGGUUUCACCAUUUCAAAAAUGGACAUUGUUCUUGUGGGGAUUACUGGUGAGGUGAGUUUCUCUCUUUUAAAGUAGAUGGUACUAAUUAUAUACACCAUACUUAUAAGCUGUAGUGAUAUUCAUCACAAGAGGGGAUAACAAUUCGACUGGUGCCAUGCUUAAAAUUUAACAUAUCCAAGGUUAAAAACAGAGAAAUUAUUGUAUGGGAUGCUAGUAGGUUUCACCAUUUCAAAAAUGGACAUUGUUCUUGUGGGGAUUACUGGUGAGGUGAGGAUCUCUCUUUUAAAGUAGAUGGUAGUAAUUAUAUACACCAUACUUGUAAGCUGUAGUGAUAUUCAUCACAAGGGGGGGUUACAAUUCGGUUGAUGCCAUACUUAAAAUUUCUUUCUGAUUUUUCCAAAUGUUACUGACAGUUUUAUGAUAGAUUUUCUUUUCCUUCUUUUUGCUCAAUUUCUAUUAACAGAUUCGUCUACCUCCCCCCCCCCCCCCCCCCCCCCCCCCCCCCCCCCCCCCCCCCCCUCCCUCCCUCCCUCCCUCCCUCUCACCCUUUAUUUUUGCGAGUUCAAAUAUAUCAUAUGCAUUAACAAUUAUUUUGAGCUCUGUUGUUCCUUGUGAGACACAUAAGCUACUUAGCUACACAUUUAUUUUAUGUAUCUUAUCUUUCUUCGAAAAAUGAUUUAUAGGCUCUUAGACAAGCCUUGCAUAAGUGUGUUGAUAUCUAUGCAUCAAAUUACGUUCUUUGUGAAUAUGCACUAAUUUUCUCAGUUUCACGUGACUUAUAUAUUGCUUCCGGAUAUACAUGCUAUUCUCCUGCUAUCGAAUUAUGAGAACUAUUACUCGUUCUUUGCAAGUACCAACUCUCUAAGUAAUCAUUUGUUUAUGGGUGAAUUGUAGUCGAUAAAACCUAAAGCACUUGUUCCAUUGUUAAUGAGUUUAGCAAUUAAUUACACAAAUUUACUGUUCAGGCAUACUCCUGCAGAUGCCCCUUCUUUAAUCAUGCGGAUGUCUAUAUAACAUGACACAUAUUCAAUAUAUGUUAUGCCAAUAGAACUCGUGUUUUCCACCCAUGUACAAAGUUGCAUGAUAGCCAUUCUUGUUCAGUGUGUAAUGUAAGAAGUUGCGCAUUUAUACAGCAUUUACAUUAUUUUCGCACUGCAUAUACUGGUCAUGAGUUAGAAAGCAACCUUUUAGUAGCACUAAAAGAAGGCUUGGUCCAUGACAAUUUGCCAUAUUGCACUUGUUACCCUAAGUAAUCUAAUAUGUUGGCACUAAAUAGAUAAUUUACCUUCUCUUUAUGCUUUUUUAGAAAUAUUCCAGUCCAAUUGAUAAUUAGAACAUAAAAGCGAGAACUGCGAUUUAUGGUUGCUCACCUUUUCAUGAAAGGAGAACCACAGUACUGGACUAUAACUGAAACCAGGGCUGUCUUCAUAAUGUUUCUUAUUCUCCCUUCCUUUCCAACUUCUGUUUUCCUCAGCUGCUGGUGCCUGGCUCUAUAUUCUACCUUAAAUCAAUUAUUUCCUCAGAGUGGCAACAAUGCUGCAGUAGAUAUUACUCUUGCAGGAAAUAAUGCACAUUAAUAGCAGCGCUUUCAAAAUAGAAGUUGUUUGUUUUGUUUGUGGUCUUUACUGUAGAUAGCUCUGAGUAUUACUUGUUCUCUCGUCAUUGAUCAGGUAACCAAACUGUAGUUUAGUAAUUAAAUGUUGAUAUUUAGUCCAAGAGAACACGAUUUUACAGCUGACGAGAAGGUUUGGUGCUAUUAUAUGCAGAUGGAGUUGGGCUUGUUGAACCAUUCCAUUUAAAAAUUUAAACUCGUAAAUAUCAUCCAUUAUGCUCCCUCUGCAUACAAAUAGUCAUUUAAAUUCAAAAUGCCUCACGGGGGAUUUUAUAUUAUGGGGUGUAGUGCACCUCGAAUCCAAUUCUUAUGUCGUACUCUGGUACUAUGUUAAACCACAUCAUCUAAACGCUUCAACUAUGAGAAAGAAUGAAUUUAUUUAUUUAUAUAUCUAUAUCUCUAAUAAGCAAUCUUUUGAUUGCCCAACUAAUAUGCGGCUUCUUCUUGAUUAGCAAUUGAAAGAAGACCAAAGCUAGGACCUAUGCUAUGCUGCAUAAUAUCAACAACAGGAUUUGCUGCAUGGACUAUUUUGAAUGUAAUGCCGCUUAAUGCCAAUCAUCAUUUUGUCGAGCUUGUUGAAAUGAUAUGACUAGAUAUUUGCAUAUCUUGAUAUCCUCCUGGCAAUCUAGUUGCCCAAUCACUAUUUUGAAUCUGUUCAGGCAACUCGUCCUGAAUCUAGUCUGUUUUGAACUCCAUUGUCCUGUUGGUCUGCUUGCAAUCAACACCAUCUAAUUGAAUUAAUGUUACUUGUUUAAAUUUAUUGGAUAAUGGGCCGCAUUGCCAAAUAUUGAGAAUGUAUAGCAAUGUAAACCGGCCUGCCUUGGAACUGCUCGGCGUUGCAGUCUUUUUUCAGAUUCCUGAGCCGAUCUUUUGGCCUGGUUACUGCCCACAGGGGACAAGGCCUUCUUCUCCGGUCACAGCCUCUCCAGCUCUUUCUUAAAUGAAGGCUUGGAACCCUAUACCUAUACAAGGGGCUGGUCUUGAUCCUGUUUGGUGGUGCGACCGCAAAACCUUCAAUUUCACCUCUUGAAUGUUAUAUUAAAGGUCCAGAGAGGCUCGAAGUCCAACGUCAGGUAUUGCAAAGGUAAUAUCUUCUGUACCGUUGGCAUUUUAACUGUUAUAACUGUCAUUUAAUGCUUGUCGAAAACAGAAAUUGGCGAUUGCAUAGGCUAAUCCGGCAUAUGUCGGGAGGAGCUGAAGCAUCAGGUUUGAAGGAAAAACGGCUGGCUUUGCUUGGAGUCGAUGACAUUGACAUUUUUAAAGGUGUCAAUUUUAGCCAUGGCGUACAUGCUCAAGAAAGUAUCCAAAUUGGCAGGGACUGCUGAUAAUAUGACAGAAUCUUAUAAUUAUUGAUCUAAACAAACCAAUUCAGUAAGACACUACUUUAAUAUUUUGAAUUUUUCUAUAAGAAAUUGGAUUUAAUAAUAUCUUUUGUAAGUGUAAACGAAUAAUCAUUUUCUACUUAGAAGCAGUUGAGGGAAAACUCAUUCUUUCAAGUACUUCGCCCAUUUUAUCGUCUAAACAUGGAACACGAAUAUGAUUGAUAUGCUGAACUGUACAAAAUUGAAGAUGCAAUGUAAGAGUUGGAUUCGGCACAUUUUUAGUUCUUUGGCCAUUUCAAGUACCGUGGACCCUAUAACUUCUUUGUUCCGUGUAACGGCAUGAGAAAAUUUCAAGCAGUUGAAAUUGGACAAGUCUUGAUAUACAUAAAAUGUGUACAUGAGAGUGAUGAGGCGGGUCCCACCUACCAUGUGAGGGGGGUGCGAACACCCUUAUGUAGUAAACCAAGCACAAUCCUAUCAUGUCCCAAAAAAAUAUAUUACUCUUCUUGAUUCCGGCAAGACUAAGUAAGUUGUGCAAUGACUCAGGCUAGAGCCCCGCCAUAAAUAGCAUUUGAAUCUUGAUGAGUUCUCGUUUCGUACGAAAAUUCUGUUUCCAGUUCAUCCAAACUGACGCAAUUAACAAGACCGAUACAAAGUCUAUUCGGGACAGGGUUAAAGAAUAAAAAAUGAGAGAUAACAAGAAAGAAAAGAGAAAGCAGGUGUCUUCAUUCCCCUCGAACCUAUAUUCUAACACCCCAAGUAAGCAUGUAUUCCAUCAUCCCAUUUCAACAAAGAAUGAAACAAAUCCAAACAAAACAAAGAAACCCGACUAAAUUUUUAGACGGUGAUAUCAGAUUCAUUGUCAGAUGAGACUGGAGAACCAGAAGCUUCAGCAACAUAUUCAAGCAUGCUUACCACCUCAGAUGUAUCGUCCAAAUAAUAUUUGGCUUUGCUGGGUUUCUGACCUACUGUACAAGCAAAUACUUGUGUGUUGUAGGGAAGACUUCGUCUUGACACUGCAGAACCAAUUAUUUCAAACAUAUCCUCAUCAGAUCUGUCAUCCCCAAUG